ncrna:Vibrio fischeri ES114 Fluoride riboswitch
AUACGUAAAGGUGAUGGGGUUCCACCUACUUAACCGCCAAUGUUGGCUGAUGACUCCUACAGAAUA